UCGGCCAAAGUUGAGCCUGAUCAUUUGGUAGUUAGAUUUCUGAGUAUGAUCAUGUUAAUGGUUAGAUCUAAUCAAGACUUGUAGAGGAUAUCAAAGUCAACUAAAAAGUUUUUUGGGAUAAAAUUAAUUACUAAAAAUUAUUUGAUGAAAUAAUCGGUUAAAAAAUCUACCUAUAGAUGCACACGGGUGGGUCGGCCAA
rnacentral:lncRNA from 1 species